UUGGUAAGCAGUGUUACCACUUUCAAAAUUGACGGCACAUUUGAAAUCGUGGUCUUGAUGGUGAAGUUAUUCAGGUGAUUUUACAAUAUCAUACCGUGCAAUACUCGUUAAAGUAUAUCAUACCAAUCGUGUUCAUCGUGGAAAUGUUUUGAAGGGUUAAAUAAUCUACGUUUAACCCGAUACUCGGUUACAAUUUUAAUCGGCGUUAUCGUUUCAAGUGUAUCGCUGGGUUUCAUUGUUUAUUUCAAGGAUGCAGUUAAAUAUGACAUGAUUGUGUGUUUAGCACUCUGUCUAUGAUGGAUUAUUAAAAUAACAUUUAAAUAAAAGUGUUGAAAGAUAUAGCUCGAAUACAACCGAGAUUGCAUUUUUGCAUUGGAGAUUUCGUAAAUAAUGUAGAAUGUACUCACGAAGAGGCAAUAUAGUCUACAUAUUAUUUCUUUAACUCGAAAUGUUACCUUAAAUUUCUUACAUUACUUGAUAUAUGUUAUCCAUGUUUUUAUAAGUAAAAGAAAGGCCCUACAUACCAACUUUGGAAUGUCUCAAAACAUUUCUUCACACUAAACGAUGGCACAAUGAAGACGGAACUAUCAUCAUGAUCAAUUAUAAACAAGCGAUAAAGGGCACUCCGGCGCUUUCAGGAUCUUGUUUCAACAGACUGUCCCGGAUAUAACAUGGCGUCCCACAUCCGGCUAUCUAGUCAGAAUCGAAAAACGGAAUGCUAUCGCCUGCUGUACCGCUUGUAGCCGACUGUCCAACUGCACCUCGGUGUUCUAUACGCAAGCAGACGGCGACUGUCAGCUCCACCAGAAGACAAUUGACGUCAGUGCGUACACGGGUGGAACGAUAGUGACGUCAUCGACUUCAGUCUAUGCAAUAUCGAACAUGCCGUUCGACUGCAGUAGUCUGACGUCAGAGUGGACUCUUGCCCAAGUCUCACCUGGCGACAGAUUUUACGUCAGGAUGUUUUCGACGAACGAAACAACUAGAGCCGAGGCUGAAACUGUUUGCGGCUCUCAAAACAGCACCCUACCCAGGAUCAAAACACUUGAGCGACUUCAGUUUUUCCGGAGUAGGAUUAUGGCGUGUAAUGUAACCGCUGGUUUUAUUUGGCUUGACGGAAAAAAUACAUAUUCGGGUGACUGGAGCUGGCGCUUUUCAGACGGCACGCCCAUCAAUAUGACCCAGGGGGCGAGCGGUUUCUGGGUCACAGGUCGGCCCAACGACGGAGACAGGCCGCACUGCCUGCGUCUUUGGGCCCAACAGGGUCAUCUACUAGACGACACAUCCUGUACUGGAUUGUAUCCCACAAUAUGUGAGCGCAACUGAGUGUAACAAAUGCCUGGAGGCUCGGGCGGGGCAGGGGGCUUGAAGCUACUUCGACUGCAGAGGCAUCAUCACAUCACAUCACCCCUGCAAUCAUGAACUUUAUCGUGCCUCCUCCGAAAGAAUGAUUAGUUUGUAACUUUUCUGAUAUAAUGGAUUAUUCUACCUAAAAGGUCAUCAUUUUAAAAUUGAAAGUAAAACAGAAAAGCAAUUAAGCAAAUACAAACAAUAAAAUAUUGAACUCGAUCAUCAUCUCGCGGUGUAUAACGUGCGGCAACCUCACGAUUAACAGAGCCCAUGCUUUCACUCGCCUCUUUUAUAGAUGUAACAAUGUUAUGAAAUUGCAGCCGUAUUUAUUUUACAAUUGUAUUACAGCAGCCAUACAUUUGUUUAUUGUUAUUGAAGAUGUUUUGUUAUUGUAAUUUUAACAUAAUAUGAAUAUGUCUUUUUAACGCGAAUCUUUCAAAAAUAUUGUACACUCAAUAUUUGUUUAUAUUUUGCGGCAAACGCGUUUUUAUGUAAAUGAUAAGAGCUUCUUGUAAACGGACAUUCAAAUUGCUGUUAAACAAUACUUUUAUACACAAACAUUAAAAGAGCAGUAUGCCGUUGGCAAUCUCAAUUUGAACAAUGACAAAUCCGAUUCGAUGUUGAUAAUUAUCAAAUGCCGGUGACUUGGCAGAGUAUUUAAAGGGGCCGUUUCACAGAUUUUUUCAUGUAUUUAAGUUUUUCAUUAAAUGCUUUAGAUUGGUACAUUUAAACAGUGUAUCUAAAAAUCUCCAGUAAAAAAAUCAUGAUUAAAAUUAUUACAAAAAACAAAAAACAAAACAUAUAUAACCCUCAACAGGGCUCGAAUCACUGACCCCUGGAGUCCUGGAGUAAAAAGUCUCCCAUUUAGACCACUCGGCCAUCCGUGCUAAUCCAAUCAGUAAUGCAUUUUAUACUUUAUAUAAGCAAUCCUGGAAGUAUCACAAAAAAUAACGACAACAACAGAACUCUCAAAAUUAUUCAAUCGUUUCGCGUUGCAACGCUUUAUUAUUUUCAGGUUUUUGAAUCGUCAAAAGAUGCACUUAAUGGCUAUUUAAAUGCAUGGUAAAUGUUCAGUAUUACUAAACAGUAUAUCAUAAAUACCACAUAUAUCAUAACAAAAACGAAAAUUUGCGAAUCUGAAACAACCUGUUUUUAAUAUUGUCAAUUUACUAAACCGUGAAAAGGAUCCUUUAAGGUAAUGUUUAAGAGCACGUAACACACAUGAUUCGUACACAUUUCUGUGUAUCUUCUUUUUUCAAGGGUAAUGAAAAAAAUUGCGUAUGCUGCGCUUUUAAAUAAUAUCUUUUAAUAAUCAUUGGAUUUUUUUUAUUUAGCUAGAACCAGCUGUUGUGUUUAUGAUAAGGAAAUAAAAAUCAUAAAUCA